AAGAAAAAGAAUGAAAGACGGGAAAGCGGCGCUCGGUGUCAGGAAAAUGCAUAGUGGGAGGAAAGUGCGCAGGUGCGCCCAGAGCGCGGAGAGGGGCGCGCAGGCCCGGGGUGCGCGCCUCCCCUCGCGGUGUCGGAGAGAUACGCACCCUUCCACCUAGUAGGGCGGCGGGCGGUCGGGGUCGCGGAGUGCUGGGCGGCUCUGGGUACCUGAGACGGGCAGCGGCGACGUCUAACAUGAGAAACUUCCCAUCGCCACCUUUUUCCAUAGUCCCUUGGGGGCGUGUAGCCUGCGGACGUCAGGCCGCCACCCUGCCGCGGACAACUAACUACCCUCAGUACUUCCCCGACCCCAAACUCGGAGACUUUUCUAAGAGCCACACCACCAAGUAACCUUGAGUCCUGUGGGUCAAUGGAGGGGUAAGCCCCCCUCAAUUCUUUGACCCCCUGGGAUCGUAACCAGGGCUGAGACGAAGAGGCCUGGCCGUGGGUGUAUGGAGGAGAAACGUCUCAGGCUCACUCAAGUCGCCUCCCCAGUCCUCCCCCGCCACCCGCCUGGCGCCAUCCCAGCAGGCUUGGGAACCUGUGCUUCCCGGGGCUUCUCUCUCGAAUUUAGUGGCACGCAGGGCUGGGGCUGACCUGCGCUGGGAGAGCCGGGGGAAGGAGCGAGAGAGGGAGGGGGCGGCUGCCUGUGGGAACGCGGGUUCUUGCAGGGAAGCGGACCGAAACUGCCGCGUUCCCCUCGAUUUGCACCGUCACUCGGGCUGUUUUGAAAGAAGAGGGGAAGCGUUGAGCGUGCCAUCGUGCACCUGGAUCUGGGUGCACAGUGUGUACGUAUGACUGUACCGCUGCGUGAGUUUUCAGGGCUUUGGUACCUAGCGUCCGGGCAGAGUUCGAGGGUCACCUCCAGAAACUGGCAGAAAUUGGAAGGGGUGAGAGGAGGACACACCCCUUUCCUUGGACCGACUUGGAACACUUUGAAUCUCCCCUCCCCCACUUUUCCGCCCUGGCUCUUCUUUUGUUGUCAAGUCCUUUUGAUAAAUGGUGGGGCUGGGAGCGCUGGGAGCCCGGAGCCAGCCGGUGCCCGCGCAGGGGCGGGGGCCGAGCCUGGAGACCCGGUUUGGACCGGCGCGCACCCGGCGCUGAGCCGGGUCUGGAACCCUGGAACCUGCCCUCGGCGUGCUCGCCCUCUCCCUCCCCACCCUGCUCCCCUCCCCCUGCGUCUCUGUCUCCCACUCCGCACGGGUGCCGAGAACUUUCUGGGAAUCAACAGGAUUUCUCCGGCUGUCGUUUGCGUUGCAUUUAUCCGAAUAAAUCCAGCUCGCAGGCAUCAGGCAGAGAACGGCUCCUGGCUCGAGUGCAGGCAGACGCCUCGGCCCAGCGCAGGACAGGACGCGAGGGGGCUCCUCCUGCUCCGGCGCCUGCGGGUCCGGUCUUUGAGGAAGUCUGGACGAGCUGCGCCCCCAGGUCCAGUGGUCUCUUGCUGCCCCGCAGUGCCUGGCACCCCCGCCCCACCUCUGCCCCGACCUCUGCCGAUGCUUUGGAAAUGCGCCUGGCCAAGUCCGUCCGCAGCGAAACUGAAAGCAAAUUCCCCGGCAGAGACAGCUCGAACUUUCUCCGACGCAAGUUAGCAACAGAGAUGGAGUGGAGGCUCCGGAAGGACAGUGCGCUAGUGUGAGCGCGUGCGGGGUGGGGCGGAGGAAGAGGAGUGAAGAGGGCACUGGGUGGCCGGGCCUGGCUGGCGGCGAAACGCUAGGGAAGGCAUCUCGUCUUCCUUAUUUCUGGGCAACUUCUAUGCCCCUAAUGGUAAAAAUAGUUUCCAAGCUGCCUCGGACGCCCAGGAUGUGUUUGUAGAGAUCACAGUGGGGAAGAUGCGGCUUUGGAAAAGUUGGCAAAAGAGCUUUACCCAGAAUGGUCCCCCCGGCGGGGUUCAGGAAAGCUUGAGACCAGCUGGCUUCCUUCGGGGUGGAAUGGCCAGGAAUCGGCCUGAGGAACCAACUCCCUGCCCACUUCUCUGCCCUCACCUCCAACUAAGGCUUAAAUAACCUACCACCGCUUGCGCUGCAAACUUCCCCGCGUGGUCGGCGGGCGAGGCCUGGACGCAGAGGGGGCCCACAAGACUGCUCCUCGGUGCGCUGGGCCCCAGCCCUGAGAGAGGCUUGAACGGAGGUGGGAGGACUAGUGUGGUUUCCGCUCCCACUUGGCUUGUCCAGACCCUCAUGGCAGAUCCCCCAACUCCCGGGAGCUGGCGCUUCCCCCUGAGACCCACAAUCUUGGGGGGCCGGCUAGGGCGCAAAGUGCGCGCGCGGGCCCGCGCGGGGGCGGCCGCCAGUCUCUCUCUCCGCGGGGCCUGUCGCCGGGCCGGCCACGGCGGGUGAGUGAUGAGGGCAGAGAAGGGCGCCCAUAAAUCGCGGGUGUCAGGGCGAAAAACUCUCUUUAUUGUCUGCGUGAUGGAUGGGCCCGGGGACGAGACACCAAAUACUUCGUAUCGCCUUUAAAUGGGAACACAUUUUCCGCGGCCAUAAUUCAUGUUUUUUAAAUAGAAAGUUUGAAAUGUUGCCUAUAUUUCACCGGCCCUGACAUAUUUAUGAAUCGCUCCCUGCAUGCAAAUAUCAUUAUUUAAAGCGCCGGGGAGAGCGCGGGGGAGGGGAGGAGGCGCGGCCCCCGGGGCAUGGGGGUGGUGAGCCGGGGAAAUGUCGGUGGAGGGGGGCUCUCUCCCUAAAGGGCAGAUGAUGAGGCGCGGGGAAAAGCUGUAUCCGGAAACCAAGCGCACCCUGGGGCUUCCCUCCAGCCAGUGGACCCCGCGCGCCUGCCUGGGGAAGUUUUCACGGCUUAGGACCGAGGACAAGCCACCAUACCCUGCCAAGAGACCAGGGAAUAUUUUGCGUCCCUCUCCGAGGCCAAGAUCUAAGCUGAAGCCACCUUUUCCAAGAAGAAAGUUAAAAAAAAAAUUUAACAAACUCAAAUAAUAAUAACCCAACAUGUUUCGUGUUCUUUGCCAUUGCAUCGAUUUUAUUGAUUUUCAUUCUGCAAACCUGGGAUUGUGCGCGCCCAGGCGGGGUGGCCGUCAAAACCCAGUCACCUCAGGGAGUGGGUGGGGGACAAUCCUCCAACACCGCGGCCGCGACCCGCCCUCACCCAAGCAGCUCGCCACCUCCCAGGCACAACGGAGCCUGCGCAAGACGCUAGGACACAAAUGACCCGGCCCCCAAGCUCCGGGGGUUUCAGUCCCGCCCCUCCUUCUCUUCAGUGCACUGCAGCGCUUCCCUCGUCCGCGCCCGCCCUCCCGGAUCACCCACUGUCUCUACCAACGCUGUUUUUUUUUUUUUUAAAGCCGAGCACGUGCAGUCGGCCUCUCCCCUGCCCAUCCGGCGCGGGAGGCGCCCACGCCUGCACCGUCACUUGCCGAGACUUUACCUGUGCAAUCCCCCGCGGCGCCCGCGGUCGCGCCGGUAACAGAGAAAUGGAAGGGAGGGCUGGGGGGUGGGAGGGACAGAGAACACCGCCCGACAGCCAGGUGUGCGGACCCAGGGCCUCCUCUCCGGACGGGUGCUCGGGCCCUGGCCGAACCAGCUCCGGUAGCCGAAUUACGGCGAGGAGAGCGGACCGGGGAGGGGCGAGGGGAACCGGCCUAGGCAGGGAGGGGCGGGCCCAGCGGCACUUCCGCUGGGGGUGUGGCUAGGGCUGCCGCGCAGGCCCCGCCCCCCCGCGCAGGCCCGCCUCCGGCCCGCCGAGCUCCGCCCCCGCUGGGUGAGCUGCAAGAGCUCGUGCCUGGGCCAGAGGCCUGGCGCUUAACCUGGAUUUUGCGGGGGUGGCGGUGGGCAGCUCUCUUUUUGCCACGUGGGGGUUCUUUCUUUUUAGGUCAUAGGAACAGAAGCAUCUACAUACUAGCAACCCAGGCCCAAACUUGCGUGUAAGAUUUGCUCAAACUUUGGUCAUUUGGUAGUCCUGAGACUAACCCGGGCCAGGGGCUCUCAAAGUCUCUCUGGGAUCCGACUAGAUGUCAGGAAUGCAGUCCAUGCUCGUGGGUUCCCACGUUUCUUUUCAGGAGGAACAAAACAGAAACUAACACUUCUUGAUUGUUCAUUUUGUGCCAGGUGCUAUCUAAGGACUUUGUAUGAAUUGUGUCCUCACAGCAACUCUCUAAGGUAGGUACAAUGAAUGCCCUGUUUUAUAGAUAAAAUCAUCGAGGCAAAGAAAGAAGAAAUCGGCCUGGACUUAUCCACAUCUCACCCAUCUCCUCAUCCCUUCUUUUUGUCUGUUCCCCAGCAUCCCAACCCAUCACUCUUGGAGAGCGUUUGGGUUGGGGGGGAUUUUAGUUCCUGGCAUGGAGACUAUCUGGCUAUUGGCCGUAGCCACUUGCAGUAGGAGGGCGUAUGAACAGAGGAGAAAGGUGUAAUGGGAUGGGUUCAACUCAGCCUCUGGCCAGCUCCCAGCCUAAUGGGCAAACAGGGCCAUUGAGCUUCCGUGUUGUUCCUCUGUAGUCCCGCCUGAAGCCAGAGUGUGUUUUCUUUAAAAAAGUAAAUAAGACCAUGUUUCUUUUCUACUUAAAAGCAUCUGAGUUUCCAUUGUUCUUAGGAUCAAGUUGAGCUGCCUCCUAUGGCUGGCGGUAAUGGCUUGAUCUGCCCCAGCUUGCCUUUCUGCCUCCUCUGCCUCUCCCCCCAGCACCUGCUACCCAGGGCUUCCUAUUGGUUCCCCAAUGUGCCAUGCUACUUCUCACCUCCAGGGCUUUUCCUUCUGUCUGGAAUGACUUUCUGGCCUUCUCUUCACCUGGUUCACUCCUCUUCUUCCUUCAGGCCUCAGUUUAAGGUUCAGUUCCUUGCAUCCUCCCACCUCCUGUAACCAUCUCCGAGAAUAGGAUUCCCUGUUGAGAGUCUGCCUCCUUCACCUGGUGGGAAACUCCCAGGGGACAGGACUGGCGCUGCUCCUUCAGGGAAUGAAUGAAGAAAGAGCAUUUAUAUGUACCAUCAGCUAUGCUGAAUGAAUGCUUACUUACGGGGUUCACUGCACUUCUGGGGGCCACCAGUAAGUAUUCUCUAUAGUCCCACAUCCCAAGGUGUUUUCAGUUUAAUGAGGAAGAUAACACAAAUCCCAUGAAAAGAUAUAAUGAUUAUUUUGAAUGUCUUUAUUGUAAAUGUCAAAUAAAUGGAUGCUGGAGGAGGUUGGAGAAGAGAAAUACCUGUGGUUUGACAGCUAUUUAUUCAGACUUUCAAAGUGUAAGAUGUGUUGGUUGACACAGUUUAAAGGAAAAACAUGCCCUGCCAUGACCACUCCUCCCAAUAUUCAGGUACAUAUGUCCCAAGACUCUAGCCUGGGCCCCUUUUUCUCUUCUUCACAUUUAUUGAGGUCACAGUUCAAUUCUUAUUAGUUUCUGAUGGAGCUGCAGCUAUAAGAACCUCCUAAUUGUUCUGCACAUCCUCAGCCUCUCCUGCCUCUAAUCCAUUGCACAUACUCCUGCCAGGUUAGUUUUCCUGACCACAUGUGCUCAAACAUCUGCAGUGGCUCCCAGCUGUCCACAUGUAACACUUGACUCUUCAUAAUCUACUUCCAAACUACUUUUUAAAAGCUAUAAAUUGCAUCCCAAGAUUACAAAAGAAACAUAUGUUCACCUCAACUAGCAAAACAUUGAAAGAUAUACAAAGAAAAACCUUAACCAUCUUCCACACCUCCUCACCGUUUCCCACCAAGUCUCCAAGUCUCCUCAUCCAGUGUUAAUGUCCUGGAGUAUACCUUCUACCCCUUUCACCAAUAUCUGUAUAAACUGUGCUCAUAUAAACUACACUCAUAUGUGUGGGGCUGUUAUGUUAUUGCUUGUUUAUAUAAAAAAGGAUUAUAUUGGGUGUCUCUGCAACUUGCUCAUUCUUUCUUGAAAAUAAAUGGCUGGCUCUGCAGAUAUAGAGCUAAUUUAUUUUUUAGCUACAUAGUAUUUCAUAGGAUGUAUAUACUACAACUUAUUCAACCACUCCCCUAUUAAUGGGCAUAUAGGUGACUGUUUUUUUUUCACUAAUAAAAUUUCUUGUGUCUACAUCCUUGCAAUCAGUGAUUUUAUUUCUAUAGGAUAGAUUGCCAAAAGUACAGCUACCUACGCAUCAGCCAAAUCAAAUUUCUUUGUACUCCUCACAUGUCCUGUGUGUUUUUCCAUUCCUUCUCUCUCCUCUCCUGGAAAGCCCUUGUCCCCAGUGUUUGUGUGUCCAACUUCCAAUCCUGCG
ensembl:lincRNA